rnacentral:lncRNA from 1 species
UUGCUAAGAUGUUCAAUCUACUCAAUCAUGUAUAAUACAUGAUCAGUGACUGAAGCUCCCUCUCUCAUAUGGACAUUGAAUACUGCGUAGGAGGUUUUAUGUCUCUCCACAUCCUCAGGGGUACCGAAGGACUCAUUCAAUAUUUGAAUUAUCUCCUAAGGCUGUGCAUCCUCGAACUUACGACUAAGUUCAUCGUUCAUAGCUAUCCUUAUCAUGCAACGCAUAGUCGUAUGAUCAUUAAGCUACUUCAUGUAAGUGUCUCUCGC